AGCUUUCCCAUUUAAAGAAUUGCAAGUAAUGACUGAUGCAGUGGACAGUCAUUGAAUUUCUUCAAUAACGGUUCAAUCCAUAAGUUUCUUCAGGCCUAUACCUAGCACCAAGUAGACUUUAUAACAUGAUUGAUGCAGCAUAAGUUACUUCUCAAAUAGAAGAAAUGAUUAAAAGAGCAAAAAUUUGACAAGAUCUUGCAUAUAAAGAAUUGCUAGUAAUGAUUUAUGCAGUGGACAGUUGCCAAAAGAUAGAUGGUUUUGGGAUAUGGAUAUGAUUUGUUUCAGCACUAUUUUCUUCUGGUUUAUUAGUUUUUCUUUUUCCCCUCUACUUGUAUCUAGCUUAUUAAUUAAGUAUCAUGAAGGACAUUCUUGUAGUUAAGAUAUU
rnacentral:misc_RNA from 1 species